rnacentral:rRNA from 1 species
AUGAGUGAUCAAACGGUGGCCGGUGGGUCACAUAUUCAGCGCGACGAUCCUCAAUGGCGGCCUAGCCUGGCCUGGCCAGAGAAAAGGGCGUCGAUGCAAGGUCCUCGACGACGGCGAGCUCGAGUGUUUUUUUUUCCAGUGAUAUGCGAGAUCGUGGCCAUCGACGUGUGUUGGUCUACAUCGAUGAUUUUUCGACCGCUGCUUCUACAGGCUCCUUGGUUUAAAAAAGUUUGCUCUCAUAAGGUGGAGACCCAGAUGCGACAUCGAGAUAUGAUCACGGCGCACUGUCACCGGAUGCAGGAGGAAAAAGACAUCAACACAUUCAAGGCUUUCAAUACACUUUCAUUUUUCUCUAUGAUGAUUAUGUUUUGUAAGGACCUAUAUAAGACUUAA